rnacentral:lncRNA from 1 species
AAAAUUUCUAUGUUUUGGCUUAUAAUGGUCUUGUUUGCAACAAAUUAGGGAGAUGAGAACAUACAUGUUUUUUUUUAUAAAUUUUUUGUUUGCCAAGACUUCCUAAGCCUCAUGUUUACGUACCAAAAAAGUUCAAUGGAGGAUCAAAACCUUGUAGUUCGUGGUAAAAAUAACAAAGAUGUUUGUUUUGAUUAAUUUUUAAUGAAAUUUUUUUUUGUCAUUU